UACGGGGGGGGCAAGCGUUGUUCGGAAUUACUGGGCGUAAAGCGCACGUAGGCGGAUUGUUAAGUCAGGGGUGAAAUCCUGGAGCUCAACUCCAGAACUGCCUUUGAUACUGGCAAUCUUGAGUCCGGAAGAGGUGAGUGGAACUCCUAGUGUAGAGGUGGAAUUCGUAGAUAUUAGGAAGAACACCAGUGGCGAAGGCGGCUCACUGGUCCGGUACUGACGCUGAGGUGCGAAAGCGUGGGGAGCAAACAGG
rnacentral:rRNA from 1 species